rnacentral:lncRNA from 1 species
AAGGACGGACCCGAGUCCGAAUAACCGACAAGCAGCAGAGGAGCUUAGGAAGCUCAAGAAGCGGGCCCAACUACCACCGAAUUGGCGGCCCAACCAGCCCACUUUUUAUUUUUGUCACUAUUGCUGUUUAGUCCUCAGAGAUUAAAUAAUUCUCCUUUCUGUACGGAUACUAACUAGUAUAAGUAUCAAAAUGUCAUGUAAGCUAGGGAUUAUGAAUGAAAUGAAUUAGUCUAUUUUCUCCCCCAAAAGUUCUUCUCCAAACCCUUCUUCUCCACUACUUCUCUUCCCCAUUCUCCUCUAUUCCCAAUUCUCUACUCUCUACUCAACUCUUUCUCUCUCAGUCUACCUCUACUUCUAUCUCUCUCUCUUACCUUUCUUAGCAUCAAACUACAUCGGAUUCGCGACCGGAAGCUCCCAUCAUCCUCUCCGCCAUACUGGCCUCAGCGAGCUCUCAUCAUAGGCGGUUGCGGAUAGUCCGGGGAUAUUACAAUUGGUAUUAGAGCGGCACUGUCCCAGGGCCGUGGGCAGCGGGAAUUCAACAGGAGCAAGACCGUUAGAGGCUCAGCAGCUUUGGGGAAUUACCCCAAGCAAUUGGCGUGCACCAGGUAACAUCAUCCAACUAGCACAAUUAACUACAGAGGAAACAUAUUGAGGUUGUACCGAGGUAGUAGUAAAGGCUAGUGCGGAUUCUAUUGAAUUAGAAUCGCACUGGGCCUCAGCUUAGCAUCAUUGGCAACUCGGCGUAGUUACUGUAGCAAGCGAUAAUUCCAAACCAAACAAGAGUGAAGCAAUCACAGUAGUGUCCAGGGGCAACAAUUGGGAAAAAAAAAAAAAAAAAAGAAAGAAGAGCUAAAACUGAUUCAAAUUCAAAACCAAGAGAAGUGAGAUCCCAGGGAUCGGUGCUGCGAUAGUCGCGUGAUUUCGAUUCUUAGAAUUGUAGAGUCAAUUGCGACAUAGCUACCUGCGCUGCGAGAAUCGGCUUCGGCUGGAUCUCGACAAAAGGGGCCGCAGCGGAAUCACACUGAUUCUGAGUUUUGCACAGUUCUAGCAGAGCUAAUUUCUGCUCAAUUGUGAAGCUCCCACCUAGUUCCUAUGAACAAUUCUCAAAUAGGUAGAUCCCACAUUGUAUAGCUUAGCAAAAUUGGUUUAGCACGAGGCAACAGAUUUAAAUUCACUAGUAGCUUGUACCAAGGCAAGAGAAGAAUUAGUUACUGUCUAGGGAUAGAAGGCAAAAUGGCUAUUGGAACAAGGUUGCAGCAACAAACCACUAGCUAUAACCAAAGCUUCGAAGGAACGUUACAAAUUACUAGGGAUUUCAAUCAGAAGUCAGAUGUCUUGGCACAGAGGAUUGAAGCCCUACAGAAGGAAGAGGCAAGGAGGUACGAAAUCAUGAUGGAGGAGGAUGCCCGCAGGCAUGAACAGCUCCUAGGGUUAAUUAGGAGCCGAUCUGUACAUGCUAAAGGAAAAGGGACAGUAGUGCAAGUUCCGAUAGAGAAGAAACAUUGGCAACAGUACAUGCCAUACACGGAGUUAAGUUUCCCAGAUUUUAACGGAACAGAUCCAAAAGGAUGAUUACGAAAUUGCGAGCAGUAUUUUGACAGAUACCAAGUUCCUGAGCAACAAUGGAUAGGCAUAGCGUCCAUGCACAUAGGGGGUAAUGCAAGGUUUUGGAAGCAAGCAUAUUUCUUUAACCAACUAGGGGUGAAUUGGAGCGAGUUUUCCGAUGCCAUUUGUAAAAGAUUUGCAAAAGUGGAAGAGAGAUACCCCAUUCGAGAAUUUAGUACUUACGAGCAACCCAAUUCUAUUGAGAGCUGCCAAAAGAAUUGUGAAGCCGCAAAGAGGCCUGAAUUUAUGGUGCAGGAGGAUGAUCACCUACAUGAAGCUGAAGGUGCAGGAUCAAAACAAGAGUGUGACGAUUAUCUACAGAUGGAGAUCAAUGAAAGACCAGAGAUAGCAUUGAGGGAGAGUGCUAGCAAGCCAGAGGAGCUGCUGAAGCUGCUCGCAGCAUAGCCGCCUCCACCCGAGCCUGCCCACAAUGGCUCAAAUGCCUACACGGCUCCAGCUGAAACUGGAAGUACCAUAAAAGCUGUUGAAAAUACAACUCACAAUUUCGAAGAGUGUUGUCACGCCCCGGGACCGGCGGAGGCCCUCCCGGUAGCGUGCCCAGACCCGCCAUCUGUCUACACAUAUAAGGCGUCUACAAUAAAGCGGAAGUAAAAGCAAGUAAUAAAACAAAUAGUAGAAGUGAAAUAACAAGCAACAAUGAUAUCAGAGCGAGUAAAGUUCUAACAUCUAUACUGACAGUAAUAGGACAUAACUAAUACAUAAAAGCAAACAUAGUUUAUACAGUAUCAGCCUCUAAUACAAAAACGGUGGUCUCUAGUACACUGGUAAAACUCUCAACCUCUCCAAAAGGAAACAAAAAUCGAGAGGUGGACCACCUAGCAACUCGUCCUCGAAGGAAGCUAGCUCGAAGCAACUCCCUUCCCGCGAUCCCUGGCCUCACCCUGAGUGGAAGGCUCUGAAAAACAUUGAGAAAAAGAGGGCGUGAGAACUAUAAUUUAUAGUUCCCAGUGGGCAAUUACUGACCUCAGCUCAUCGCACCACUAGGCCCCAAAAGAAAAGGGGUAAGUCCAAUAAUAAGAGUAACGAGUAAAUUGCAUAUUAGAAAGCAUAAUAAUUAGGAUGCUAAGCUACAACUUGCAAUUAAACAUGGCAUUCCUAAUGCGACUUUAUUUUGUCAUGGGUACAUAUGUUCACAAGUAAUAUCAUGCUUUACUUUAUACAGAUAUGAAAGUAACACUUGGUCAUGACUACGACGCAUAUAAGGAUGCAAUAAACAACAUCUCCUAGCAUACUACAUGUAUGUAUGAAUACCCAAAUGUCCACAACUAUGCUAGAAGUAAGUCCAAGUAAUCCUACUACUACUCUCUGACUAGUAGUGAUCAUAAUAAACUCAACACCGUGUCGAUUUCCAUUUCCAAUUAAGGACCUACCAAAGGUAGUCCAGCUUGUGCCGCCUAAGUGCCUGUGGUAGCCCGACAUCCCUACUCUUGGAAUGUGUCUGUCCCACUCGACCCCGUAGGCUUCUCAAUACCGCACGAGCGAACAUAAGUCGCGUAGGCUAACUCCGGAGUGCCGGCUUGUAGGGAGCGACCCUCACAAGCAUGUGCGAAUGAGCACAAAUGGCAAGCAAGCAUAGUCCAAGUCUCAAGUAUCCAAUCCUCAUGUCUCUAACAUGGUAUAGUCACUAGCAUCCCGAAGAUCUAGUUUAAGUCACAAUGUGAAGUUUCAACCUUUGCUACGCCUAGUGCCCCUUGAUGACACUUAGGCAAUUUGAUGUUCAACAUGUUUUCCAAAUCCCUCAAUGGCCCUAUCCACUAGGUUCACACAAGUCCUGAGCUCAAUGCCGCUUGAUGACAUUAGCUCUCCAUUUCACAUGAUAUCAAGUUCGAUGCCUACAUAUAUAGCAAUUGUCAUCUUUCAUGUCUCAAUUAAACUUAUGUUUAAACGCAUGAAUCAUAGCUCAUUUACUCUCUAGCACCAUGAAAUCAAACCUCAUAUAGAAUGCUAAAUGCAACCAAAGAUCUCCCAAGCAACUCUCUACUACAUAGAGGUCCAAAAAUUCAUCAUAUAUGACUUAUGCAUUUUAAGCAUUCUAAAAAUCAUAAUAAAUACAUUUAAUAUGAAAAUGCAUGAAUUAAUUAGUAAACAAAGCACUUAUCGCCAAAUAUGAGAUUUUCUCAUAUCAAAGGCUAGGUCAAACCCACCGACGACAACGAAGCUUUUCGUUUGCUUCGAUGGAGGUAUCCACUAGCUUCCUAGCACCCUAGAAACAUCAAAAAUGGUGUCAUCCAAUCGAUACGAAGAGCAAUAAGCUCGAUCUUUAACCUAGAAGCAAAAGGGCCAAAACUCACCUCAAGAGUAGAAAUCUUCUCCUAAGCUCCAAAAGAGAGCUAGAACCCUUCAAAUCCAAGCCCUAAGAAGGUUCUAAACCAACCAAUCAAGCCUCAAAAGCCCUAGGUUCAAAAAGCCCAAAAUAAACCCUAAGUCUCCAAACUAGGGUUUCAUCUCAAAGAAAGCUUUAAAAUCCAAAACUAGAGGAAAGGAUCUUGCCACUUACCUCUUAUAAGCCUUAAAACCAGCUCAAAGUCCUCACACUUCAAGUAUCUUCCCUCAAUCAAACUCCAAAUCCAAGUUCCAAGCUCCAACAAUGGUGGAAAUAGCUCCAAAAGGGAAAAAGAGAGGAAAAUUCAUCAAAAACCAUGCAAAAUGGGAAUCAAAUCCAAAGAGAUGGUGUGGGGAGCUCCCUUACCUAGUUCUCCACUCUUCUCAGCCCAGGGGAGAGCCCUAGGGGCGUGGGUGCUGAUAUAAGAAGCCCACAAUCGCAAAUAAGCCCCUGCAGAGCAAACUGUGCAGAUUCUGCCUCCUUGUACCGGUACACGGGAUCUUGUACCGGUACAAGAGCUACGAAAAUCCAAAACCGAGGCUCGGGUGCGCGGUCCUGCGGCACUGUACCGGUACAGGCCCGAUGGCUGUACCGGUACAACCAUCAACAUUGUACCGGUACAAGACCACCCUUGUACCGGUACAAGACCUGCGAAAAUGCAAACCCGAGGCUCGGGUUUGCGAGUUCGCGGCUCUGUACCGGUACAGGCCCAACCUUGUACCGGUACAAGCCCGCCAGACAGCCAAUCCGAGAGCUGACCAAAAUCCAAAUUUUUGGGUUUUGGUGCAAGGCUUUGUACCACACUCCUCGGGACACGUGCCAUAAGUCGGAACACAGUCAACGACCUACCAGGAAAUCUGGAAAAGCUCAGAGCACAGCUAAUCACUCGAACCUCGCUGUUUGCAAAGGUCUAGUGUGUUACACCUAUACUACACUAUAAAAGAUAAGGAAGUGAGAACUCUGGCAGAAACACACAUACCGCACCAAAAAUACAAAAUCCAAUCAGAAUGUAAUAAAGAGCGCACUAAAUAUGGAUGAACAUACAAUCAACUUGCAAAGAUAAGCAGAAUUUUGUCAACAACUUACAUAAAACACAAUAUAAUAAAAGACGCACAAAAGAUGAACAUAUUACAUCAACUUGCGAAAAUGACUACAAUCUUAUCAACAACUUACAUAAAACACAAUAUGAUAAAAUAAGGACUAGCACAAUACAAUAUGACAAAUAUAGUGAAAUAUGGAAUACUUUAAAUAUGAAUGAACAUACUUUGUACUAGAAUAUGGACUAUCCACACAAAAUACACAAUUUAUGUAUAAAAUGAAUGACACACUAUCCUGUAAAUUUAUCAACAUAUUUACGAGAUGUUCCAAAAAAUUACCANGGGCUGCUACAAGUCAGCAAACAAAAAUGCAAGGGCGACGCUAUGGAUACGGAGUGGAGUAUAUUACAGGAGAGCAAUGCAAGAAUAGCUCCCUGCAUAUAUUACCAGCACAGAAAAAGGGUGAGAUAGGUGCUGAAUCUGAAACAUCAAAAGAAGAAGGAAGGGAGCUACAACAAGUACGGAUCAUUACAAAUUGGUCCAGAUCAUUACAAAAGAAUUGUGAGUCACAACAGCAAUUUAAAGAGGAUAAAACUAUGGGGCUUACUGCAGAGGGGUACAAGAGGUUGGAUAAUAUAGACUUAACUAGUGUUGUUGAGGAAUUGCCGAGGUUGAAGUUAGUGGAGAAGGUGCCCAGGGCUGCUACUCCUACAUUAGCCUUCGAGCCAGUCAUCUUACAAGAGUUGUCGAUGAACACCAUGUUGAAAGGUAUGGCCACCCCAAUCAGGCAAAAGAGGUUGCAAGGUUUAUGUUACAAGGGUGGAGAGAAAUUUUUCUCUGGGCGUCAGUGUAAACGCAGGGUUCGCAAUAUGGUGGUAACGGCAAAAGGGAUUGAUAAUAUUGAUGAAUUAGAGACAGCAAAAGGACGAGAAGGCAGUGGUCCACAACAAUUUAUAAGGGAAGAGAAAGUACUGCAAAAGUUCAAUUCUACAACUUAUGUUAAUUGUGGAGAAAAUGUUCGUGGAACUAUCAAGUUCAAAGAGGAUUUGCAUUUAUGCAUACCUAGAUUGCUAGAAGAGAUUGUAGAGAUGUUUGUUGAACAAAUUACUCUAGCUGAUUAUACUAAGAUCCCUAUACUAGAGACAGGUGCUAGGGAUGGAGUUAAAGAAGUUUUGAUACAAGGAUAGGAAUCAAUUGCCUAUCUAAAGAAUGGAUUGAAUCAAGUCAUACACUUCCUUGAAGAUCUACUAAACAAACAACAAGAGGUGGAAUUUGCAGUGAUGCAGGGGCAGCAAGAAAAAUCUGAGGACUUCGAGGUCCAAAGGCUAAUCCAACACUCUAGACUGACAGGAGCUUGCCUUGUGAGGGGUUUUGUGAAUGAACACAAGAAGCUAGGGGCUGUGCUUAGGAUGCCUCACCCAUGCUCGCGAUUUCUGGCCUAUGAACAAGACAAACUGCAGGAAUCUGAUGUAAGUGAUUGCAACUUCCAUAAUGCUAACUAUGUUCAUAGUGUGAUGGUUAAAGGCAACAGCUUUCUAAGCCUAGUCGAAAGUCAAGUUCACCCUGAAAAUGGAGAAGAUCAGGGUGUAAGAGAAUUAGAAGAUGAAACUAGCUGUUCCCUCAUCAUAGCUAGGAUGGUUAUGAAGAGGUUUGCCUAUAAAAAGAGGUGUGAUGGUCUCUAUAGGCGAAAAAUUUCGAAGGAUUGUUUCGCACUUAAGAAGAAGGCCAAUGGGGAGCAGAAUUGUAACACACUGGAUCUGUGCAAAUUGCGAGGUUCGAGUGAUUGGAUGUGUUCCAAGCUUUUCCCACGCUUUGUGGAGGGUCGUAGAAAGUGUUCCGACCUAAAAAGUUCGAAUCCUGAAAAUUCAGCUUUGUCCUGAGAGUUUUUACUCUCGGGGACCGGUCCCUGGUGGGAGAGACCGGUCCCCUUGGAAUAGUGUUGUGGCAGUCUGCGAGGCAACCAGUCUCUGGCGGAUGAGACCGGUCCCCGAGCGCGUUUACGCAGGGAGAGACCGGUCCCAUGCGGGGAGAGACCGGUUCUCGAGAGCAGGUUUUGCGGGAUGGACCUGAGAGACCGAUCCCAAGCUGGGAGAGACCGGUCCCUCUGGGCGAAAUUUGCCCAGUCCAGGCUGAUGCUUUGGUUGUUUGUUGAGGGGUUUUUCUGCUAUUGCUACAUCUCUUAGAGGGUAUAGAGGGGGGCAGGGCUCUCUCCCUCUCUCAUUUCCCUCACUCCCUCUCAUCUUUUUUUCUCUUUCUCUCUCAAGAAGAAGAAGAAGAAGAAGACCAAGCUUGAGGACUUGGAGCUUUUCCCUCUCCCUCUCUUCCCACUUUGUUGGUGCUUGGAGGCUUGGACUUGGAGCUUGCUAGAGAGGAGAUCUUCACUCUUGGAGCUUAGUUUGGAACUUCUAAAGACGUUUGUUGCCCAUUUCUCUCCUCUAGACCUAGUUUUGAUAGUUUUUGGGAAAUGAAACCCUAGAGUGGAAAAUCUAGGAUUUAUUUGGGGCUUUUUGAUUAGAAACUUUUUGAGCUAAUCUAAUUGGAUUAGAACCUUGGUUUAGGUUGCUUUGGAAGGGAUCUAGCUUCUAUUUGAGCUUUGGAAAGGAAUUUCUAUACUAUAGGUGAGAUUUUGACUCUUUUGCUUAAUAGGUUAAUGUUUGAGCUUGUAGUUGAUCGUAAGGUUCGCUUGACCUUUGUUUUUGUGCCCCUAGGGUACUAGGAGGCUAGUGGGCACCUUCGUCGGAGCUUACGAAGGGUUGCACGAGUUUUGGUGGGUUUGACCUAGUUUACAAUAUGAGAAAUUCUCACAUUUGGUGAUUUAUGUUUCGUAAAGUGGAAAUUCAUGCAUUUUCAUGCUAGAUGUAUUUAUUGUGAAUUUUAGAAUACUUAAAAUGCUUACGUUAUAUAUAAUGCAUUUUUGGACCUCUACGUAGUAGAGAAUGGCAUGUGAGACUUAUGCAUGUGUUUAGCAUUCUAGAUAUGACCCAUGAUCAGAUCAUGUUCUAUAUAGUGAGAAUGAGAAGUGUAAUGUGCUUUUAGACAUAACUCUCAUGUUGGACCUAGGGUCAUGCAUAAUGCCAUAAAGAGGCUCGGGACUUGUGUUAUUAGCAAACUAUGGAGCCAAUGUCACAAAGGGGCAUUGAGCUCGUCAUGUGCUUGGGACGAGUGAAACCUAGUGUCAUAAAGCGGCACUAGUGUGGGAACAAGAUUUGGACUUAGUAAAGCUAAGGUCAAUGACAUGGAAUUUAUUGAACGGUUGAACCUUCACAUUGAGACAUGAUGACUGAGUUCUUGCGACGAUGACUAUGCUUGUUUGCCAUUUGUGCUCAUUCGCAAAUGCUUGUGAGGGUCGCUCCCUACAAGCCGGCACUCCGGAGUUGGCCUACGCGACUUAUGCUCGCCCGUGCGUUGUCGAGAAAUCUACGAGGUCGGGAGGGAUAGACUCAUUCCUAGAGUAGGAAUGCUGGAGCUACCACCGACACUUAGGCGGCACAAGCUAGACUACACUUAUGUAGGUCCUAGAACAUAAUGUAAAAUAACAUUAAACCGGGAUGUGACAAUCACUACUAGAUAGGCUUAGUAGUUGGAUUACUUUGACAUGCUUAUGGCGUAGCGUUGGGACAUGUAGUAUACUUGAUAGUUUUACUUGUUGCAUCAUAAUAUACUUGGUUGCCAUGAUAGAGUAUAUUCAUCAUAUAUUGAUAGAAUGGAUCAUAAUGCCUAUUGCUGGCCAUGUUGGGACAUAUUAGUCAUGCAUUGGACAUUCUUUAUCAUGAUAGAGUAGAUGCACAACACAUUGACAUCAUGUUUACUUGUGACAUAUGAGUUUAGCAUUCUAUUUAUGCUUUCAUAAAUGCAAUCUAUUUAUUAUUAUUGUUGCUUUUGGACUUACCCUUUUCUUUUGGGGCCUAGUGGUGCAUUGAGCUUAGGUCAGUAAUUGCCCACUGGGAACUAUAAAUUAUAGUUCUCACACCCUCUGUUUCUUAUUUUUAUUUCAGAGCCUUCCACUCCGGGCGAGGCUAGGGACCGAGGAAAGGGAAUCGCCACGAGCUAGCUUGUGAGCGAGGGACGUUCGAUAGGUGGUCCACCUCUUCUUUGUUUUCUUUUUGGGAGAGGAUGAGAGUUGUACCUUGUAUAGAGAUCACCCUUUUUGUAGUACUUUUGUGAUGACUCCUGUAUUGACUUUAUCUUUUGUUUAGUAGUUCACUUUUCCCUUUCUCUAUUUGUUGUCAGAUGUUAGCGGUUAGUAGCUCUCUGAUAUCUCUAGUGACUUUAUUUCUUCUUGCUUACAUAUCACUUUUGUUGUAGACGCCUUAUAUGUGCAGGCAUAUGGCGGGUCUGGGCACGCACCGGGCGGGCCUAUGCCGGGUCCCGAGACGUGACAAGAAUGAAGCCGCUUGGGAAGACAAUAGAGAGAUUACAGCAUUGGGAAAAAUUCUAAAGCCCACAAGUAACCAGAUUUGACUUUACCACAUCUCGGUGCAAACAAGUCGGGCGACGCACCGAUUGUGACUGCCUGAAGGUCCCAAGGGUGAGCCCCCGCCCCAGCAGGAGCCGUCGUCCAUGCUGCCAACCCGAGGUAUUAGGUGAGUGUGGACACAGUUGGAAACGCCUCACACCGGCGCAAAAGGGGGGCGAGAAACAGAACCGAUAUUAGACAAUGGCUUAAAAGAAGCAAUUUUGAAGAAGAAGAAUGUGCCGCGAGGGAAGCAAAUGGGAGCCCCAAACAAGUUCAAUAAGUCCAUCCUUGAGGACAAGGAUGAUUUUAAGGGGAGGGGAUUGUAACAACCCUGAAGAAUAAAUAGUAGUAGUAGUAGUAGUAGUAGUUAGCAUGGGGAAGUAGUAAAAAUGUCAACUUUACAACGUAGAGCAGGGAAGUGACAGCAGGAGGUUGGAGAGGAGCGAGCUCGGCGGAGUGGUCCGGCGGGAAGCGCCUCCGAAGGCGCUCAGGCGCUGGCGGAGGAUAGCACGGAGAAGGGCGAUCAGGCGCUGGCGGAGGAUAGCGCAGAGAGGGGCGUCAGGCGGAACUCCGGCAGGGUGAACCGGCGGGGCUAGGGCAUCGUCGGAGCUGAAGAGGAAAUGGGAGGAUCAAGGUCGGAGAAGGAAGCCCGACAGAACCUGGGUAAUUGGGGCGAAGAAGAGAGCUGGCGGAUCGGGCGGUCGGAUCACUGGAGCGGGCGUACAACGUGGAUCCGAUAUCCGCCGGGUCGUGGAUGAUGCAGAGAAGGUCGGAACCGACGCCCACUUACCGUUAAGCAUGGAUCGGGCGAAGUGGGGCUCGGAUCGGGGCAAAAUGGCGAACCCAAGACCUGCUAGGUUGCGGGUACUGCGGAGAAGGACGGACCCGAGUCCGAAUAACCGACAAGCGGCAGAGGAGCUCAGGAAGCCCAGGAAGAGGGCCUAACUACCACCGAAUUGGCGGCCCAACCAGCCCACUUCUUAUUUUUGUCACUAUUGUUGUUUAGUCCUCAGAGAUUAAAUAAUUCUCUUUUUUGUACGGAUACUAACUAGUAUAAGUAUCAGGAUGUCAUGUAAGCUAUGGAUUAUGAAUGAAAUGAAUUAGUCUAUUUUCUCCCCCAAAAGUUCUUCUCCAAACCCUUCUUCUUCUCCACUACUUCUCUUCCCCAUUCUCCUCUAUUUCCAAUUCUCUACUCUCUACUCAACUCUUUCUCUCUCAGUCUACCUCUGCUUCUAUCUCUCUUUCUCUUUCCUUUCUUAGCAUCAAACUACACCGAAUUCGCGACCGAAAGCUCCCAUCAUCCUCUUCGCCAUACCGGCCUCAGCGAGCUCUCAUCAUA